rnacentral:rRNA from 1 species
CUACGGGCCGCACCAGUGAGGAAUAUUGCACAAUGGGGGGAACCCUGAUGCAGCAACGCCGCGUGGAGGAUGACGCAUUUCGGUGUGUAAACUCCUUUUAUAUGUCAAGAAAAUGACGGUAGCAUAUGAAUAAGCGCCGGCUAACUCCGUGCCAGCAGCCGCGGUAAUACGGAGGGCGCAAGCGUUACUCGGAAUCACUGGGCGUAAAGGACGCGUAGGCGGGUUGAAAAGUCAGGUGUGAAAGCCUACAGCUUAACUGUAGAACUGCACCUGAAACUCUCAAUCUAGAGUAUGGGAGGGGCAGAUGGAAUUAGUGGUGUAGGGGUAAAAUCCGUAGAUAUCACUAGGAAUACCUAAAGCGAAGGCGAUCUGCUGGAACAUUACUGACGCUAAGGCGUGAAAGCGUGGGGAGCAAACAGGAUUAGAUACCCGCGUAGUC